UACAGAGGUCCCGAGCGUUGUUCGGAUUUAUUGGGCGUAAAGGGUGCGUAGGCGGCGGGGCAAGUCUGAUGUGAAAUCCCGGGGCUCAACCCCGGAACUGCAUUGGAUACUGCCUUGCUUGAGUACUGGAGAGGGAACUGGAAUUUACGGUGUAGCAGUGAAAUGCGUAGAGAUCAUAAGGAAGGCCAGUGGCGAAGGCGAGUUCCUGGACAGUGACUGACGCUGAGGCACGAAGGCCAGGGGAGCAAACGGG
rnacentral:rRNA from 1 species